CAAUGGGUGAGUAAAGUGGCGUACGGGUGAGUAACACGUGGGUAAUCUACCUUUUAGUGGGGAAUAACCCUGGGAAACCGGGGCUAAUACCGCAUAAUCCUGCAAAGGGAAAGCAGCAAUGCGCUGAAAGAGGAGCCCGCGGCCGAUUAGCUAGUUGGUGAGGUAAUGGCUCACCAAGGCGGUGAUCGGUAGCCGGCCUGAGAGGGCACACGGCCACACUGGCACUGAAACACGGGCCAG
rnacentral:rRNA from 1 species